rnacentral:piRNA from 1 species
UCCUUUCUUUAUCCUUUGGUGUGGGUCAA